UACAGAGGUCCCAAGCGUUGUUCGGAUUCACUGGGCGUAAAGGGUGCGUAGGUGGCGAGGUAAGUCGGAUGUGAAAGCUCGGAGCUCAACUCCGAAAUGGCAUUGGAAACUACCUUGCUCGAGGGUUGGAGGGGGGACUGGAAUUCUCGGUGUAGCAGUGAAAUGCGUAGAUAUCGAGAGGAACACCAGUGGCGAAGGCGAGUCCCUGGACAACACCUGACACUGGGGCACGAAAGCUAGGGGAGCAAACAGG
rnacentral:rRNA from 1 species